GGAAUACUCUGCAGCUUAGGCAAAUAAAGUUAGAUGAUCUACUUUUGAAAACAUGAAAAAGUGCUUCGACAGCAUUGCUGUGAUGACAUUUGAUCAGUGUAAAUCAAGGUUUCAUAAACAAGAAGACGUAUCUGAAUGCCAAUACAAUAAGGUAGAUGGAUUUGACAUAAUCUUUCGAUAUACAAGACUAUCACAAUGCUAUCCAUAAUGAGAUGAGCUUGAAUGCCAAAACUUUCGGCUAGAUUUCAUCAUAUAUGACACAUUAUGUUGCAAUGACUAACUCAUAACAGUUAUCAAAUAACUAGAUUACCAAAAUUCAUAUAAG
rnacentral:lncRNA from 1 species